ACUCCUACGGGAGGCAGCAGUAAGGAAUAUUGCGCAAUGGACGAAAGUCUGACGCAGCGACGCCGCGUGGGGGAUGAAGGUCUUCGGAUUGUAAACCCCUUUCGGGAGGGAAGAUGGAGUGGGUAACCACUUGGACGGUACCUCCAGAAGCAGCCACGGCUAACUUCGUGCCAGCAGCCGCGGUAAUACGAAGGUGGCAAGCGUUGUUCGGAUUCACUGGGCAUACAGGGAGCGUAGGCGGUUGGGUAAGCCCUCCGUGAAAUCUCCGGACCUAACCCGGAAAGUGCAGAGGGGACUGCUCAGCUAGAGGAUGGGAGAGGAGCGCGGAAUUCCCG
rnacentral:rRNA from 1 species